rnacentral:miRNA from 1 species
UAAUUAAAUGAUAUAAUCAUCUGUCAAAUUGUAGAUUAGAAAAAUAAUUAUUAAAAUAAAUAUUAAUUUUAUAAUAUGAUAUCCGACACAUACUCUCG